rnacentral:rRNA from 1 species
UCCUACGGGAGGCAGCAGUGGGGAAUAUUGGACAAUGGGCGCAAGCCUGAUCCAGCCAUGCCGCGUGUGUGAAGAAGGCCUUUUGGUUGUAAAGCACUUUAAGCGAGGAGGAGGCUACUUGGAUUAAUACUCUAGGAUAGUGGACGUUACUCGCAGAAUAAGCACCGGCUAACUCUGUGCCAGCAGCCGCGGUAAUACAGAGGGUGCGAGCGUUAAUCGGAUUUACUGGGCGUAAAGCGUGCGUAGGCGGCUUCUUAAGUCGGAUGUGAAAUCCCUGAGCUUAACUUAGGAAUUGCAUUCGAUACUGGGAAGCUAGAGUAUGGGAGAGGAUGGUAGAAUUCCAGGUGUAGCGGUGAAAUGCGUAGAGAUCUGGAGGAAUACCGAUGGCGAAGGCAGCCAUCUGGCCUAAUACUGACGCUGAGGUACGAAAGCAUGGGGAGCAAACAGGAUUAGAUACCCUGGUAGUCCAUGCCGUAAACGAUGUCUACUAGCCGUUGGGGCCUUUGAGGCUUUAGUGGCGCAGCUAACGCGAUAAGUAGACCGCCUGGGGAGUACGGUCGCAAGACUAAAACUCAAAUGAAUUGACGGA